rnacentral:rRNA from 1 species
CCUACGGGCGGCAGCAGUGGGGGAUAUUGCACAAUGGGGGGAACCCUGAUGCAGCGACGCCGCGUGGGUGAAGGAGCGUUUCGGCGCGUAAAGUCCUAUCGGCAGGGAAGAAGAUGACGGUACCUGACCAAGAAGCCCCGGCUAACUACGUGCCAGCAGCCGCGGUAAUACGUAGGGGGCAAGCGUUAUUCGGAUUCACUGGGUGUAAAGGGGGCGCAGGCGGGAAUGCAAGUCAGGUGUGAAAGCCCAGGGCCCAACCACGGGACUGCUCUGGAAACUGCAUGGCUAGAGUAAGGGAGGGGUAGGCGGAAUUCCUGGUGUAGCGGUGAAAUGCGUAGAUAUUAGGAGGAACACCGAUGGCGAAGGCGGCCUGCUGGACUGUGACUGACGUUGAGGCCCGAAGGCGUGGGGAGCAAACAGGAUUAGAUACCCGGGUAGUC